rnacentral:lncRNA from 1 species
CUACUAAACUCUACUAAGUCUCCACCAAUAAUGUUGAAUUCAGUACCUGGUAACUAGAAGCUGACCAGAUGUUUGACUUCUUUUAUGAGAAUAAGAUUAUGAGAGAUGGUCACCUGAAUAUUUCUAAAUUCAUUGAACCUCCAGGAGAAGACAAAGGUUGGAAUUGCUGUGUGUUCCCCACUGGCUGGCAAUGGCUGGCUGCAAUCAUCGUAUUACAACUAACACAUGGGGUCAGGAGAUACAACUUGGAGAUAUACUCCAAUUGGCCAGUAAUUUUCCCAUUUGUCGGCCAGAAUGAAGCACAAUCAAUCAUGACUCAGUGACAACAAGGUGACUCACAAGCUGCAGCUUUAUUUUUAGUGCACGGCAUAAUCCCGAGACAGAGCCACAGAUGUUUAGAGACAAAAAAAGAAGAAGAAAAACAAAACUGACAUGGUGUCUCUAAGCUGCCCAGGACGGACUUGAAUUCACUCUCUGGACGAUAUAACCCUUUAAUUUGCUACCCUCCUGCUUCAGUCUCUCAAAUAGCUGGAUUUACAGGACUGUGCCACAGACUUCCAUAAAGGGAAUAGCAGAAGAUUUAACCUUAUGUCUACAACAAGAAGAAAUUAAUACCUGAUACUUUCAAAUAUUGCUACGUAUGAACGCUGUGUUAAGCCCUUUAAGUUGAUUUACUGAAAUUCAAUCACGGUAGGCACUGCCAUGAAGAGGCUAGCUAAACAGGCUCUAGGGCAAACUAUGUGGGUUUUAACCUGUGUAUUUG